AAGCCGGUUAUACAUAUAAGUAUGACCGAUUUUUUUUAUUCAAAUACAAGUUAGCCCUUAACUACAAUCUCACCUGGUGAUAAGUGAUGAUGCAGUCUAAGAUGGAAGCGGGCUAACCUGGAAGGGGUAUUGCAGUUUUUAGUAAACCCAUACAAACCCUUGGUUUUUACACGGAAUCGCCAGUCGCCACCACAAAAACUAAAAAAAAAUACAAAUCGGUCCAGAAACCUUAAAAAAAUCGGUGUACAUA